UUCAGGAACGACUCACACAAGUUUUUUAACACCAGAUUAACUGGAGGUUGAGCAUUGGAGGAUCUUCUCCUGCAGACAGGACACUCUUGAGUUUUCUUGGUUCUCCAGAACUGUUGAAGACAAUCUUUACAGACACUGUGACUACAUGAGAGAAAAACAGGAACCUUGUAGAUUUCACAGCACACGGGACAAGAAAGCUCUUCUUCAGAUAGUGAAGCCAUUUUCACUGUUUGAGCUCCAGAAAUCUAAACUUUACUUUCACUUUCUACUUUCAAAAAUAAAUAAACCUUGAGAAUCACAAAGAUCUGCUGUCUGUUCAGAAACAAACUUCUUCAAAGUCUUUCUCUUCGUUGUUCUCUGACGGCUGAUUCUUGUUUGCUUUUGUCAAAGAGAAGAAAAUCAGUGACAGAAAGAAGAAAUAACAAGUCAGUCUCUUCCUGAUUGGACAUGCCUGCAUGAAACUCGUCUAUGAAGAGCAUUCCUCCAAGUCAGCGUCUGUGCUGAUAUACAGUGAAGAUCAGGAGCAGAUCGAUGCAAUCCACUCUCACCUGACUUCACUUCUGGGCAGCACAACCACAGUGACCAGAUCAAAUUCAUCAUGGAUGUACUUUUUCCAGAGUCCAUUAUCUGUGCUCUGGCUUUUUUGGAAAAUCUGUCCAUCCUAAAGGCUAAGGAGAAAUUUCUGCAAGGACCUGUCAUUUACAUCAGUGAGCGGGGAGCAUUUUGACAGGAGGACUGAACAACAAUUAAAAGAGAGUCAUCAACGGGAGUCAUCCUAGUUCAUGUUGGUGUUAAUAAAUAAUAUUGUUGUUGUACA
ensembl:lncRNA